GUCUGUCUGCAUAGGUAGACAGUAUAAAACAGGGUCAGCACAGCAAAGGGCCAUAACAGUCGACAUGAAGUCCAUCGUUGUGCUUCUGGGAGUAGUGGUCAUCAGCCUUGCCGUAUCCGCCCAACCUUGUGUCAGGCCAGGCCUGUGUCCCAGUCACCGUCUGCUAUUCACCGUCCGUUCGAAGAGGAAUGAGUGUUUUAAAGACUGUCCAUUGCAACGCCAGCCAUCACGGCGGGUUCUGGAAGUGCUGCCGGACUUCCUUUGGCAACCUCUGUCUGCCGCCGUGUCGUCCCUCGUGCUUCGUCUCCCAGGUGUGCGCGCUGAUAACCCAGUCACAUCCGUGGACGGCCAUCUGCGUGCCUCGCCCUCCCCUCGUGAAGGGUUAGCUGUUGUCGUAGGAAGUGCAGGUGCAACGGCGAUCGGACAUGUUCAGAUUCCUGCAGCUGGAGAGCAGACACAGUCUCUUGGCAGAUGGUGUCGUUUGUUGUCGCACAGUAGUCAUAGUUGGGAGCUGCAGGGACGUUUGUAUACUGCGCUUGUAGCAUGGGGUUUCGAUAUACCGCAGUGUCAUGAAGUUGCACCUAUAUUUGCUUCUUCGCCUGUGUGUGCGCUGGGUGACAAAACGUGAAUGUUGUUCAGCCCCGUCCGCACACUGGUGCGUUUGAUGUCGAAUACACGCGUUAAGAUUGA